CUGGGUAGGUAGGCCCUUCCACAGAGUCUGCUGCCAGCCAAGUCACCUUUCAGCGUCUGGAUGGUUCCAUCAAGGGAGAAAUCCGAAAACAGGCACUGGA
rnacentral:sRNA from 1 species